rnacentral:rRNA from 1 species
GUUAUAUGGUCAAGUGAAGAAGCGCAUACGGUGGAUGCCUUGGCAGUCAGAGGCGAUGAAAGACGUGGUAGCCUGCGAAAAGCUUCGGGGAGUCGGCAAACAGACUGUGAUCCGGAGAUGUCUGAAUGGGGGAACCCAGCCAUCACAAGAUGGUUAUCUUGCACUGAAUACAUAGGUGCAAGAGGCGAACCAGGGGAACUGAAACAUCUAAGUACCCUGAGGAAAAGAAAUCAACCGAGAUUCCCUUAGUAGUGGCGAGCGAACGGGGACUAGCCCUUAAGCUUCUUUGAUUUUAGCGGAACGCUCUGGAAAGUGCGGCCAUAGUGGGUGAUAGCCCUGUACGCGAAAGGAUCUUAGAAGUGAAAUCGAGUAGGACGGAGCACGAGAAACUUUGUCUGAAUAUGGGGGGACCAUCCUCCAAGGCUAAAUACUACUGACUGACCGAUAGUGAAC